UAACACGUGGGUAACCUGCCCAUAAGACUGGGAUAACUCCGGGAAACCGGGGCUAAUACCGGAUAACAUUUUGAACCGCAUGGUUCGAAAUUGAAAGGCGGCUUCGGCUGUCACUUAUGGAUGGACCCGCGUCGCAUUAGCUAGUUGGUGAGGUAACGGCUCACCAAGGCAACGAUGCGUAGCCGACCUGAGAGGGUGAUCGGCCACACUGGGACUGAGACACGGCCCAGACUCCUACGGGAGGCAGCAGUAGGGAAUCUUCCGCAAUGGACGAAAGUCUGACGGAGCAACGCCGCGUGAGUGAUGAAGGCUUUCGGGUCGUAAAACUCUGUUGUUAGGGAAGAACAAGUGCUAGUUGAAUAAGCUGGCACCUUGACGGUACCUAACCAGAAAGCCACGGCUAACUACGUGCCAGCAGCCGCGGUAAUACGUAGGUGGCAAGCGUUAUCCGGAAUUAUUGGGCGUAAAGCGCGCGCAGGUGGUUUCUUAAGUCUGAUGUGAAAGCCCACGGCUCAACCGUGGAGGGUCAUUGGAAACUGGGAGACUUGAGUGCAGAAGAGGAAAGUGGAAUUCCAUGUGUAGCGGUGAAAUGCGUAGAGAUAUGGAGGAACACCAGUGGCGAAGGCGACUUUCUGGUCUGUAACUGACACUGAGGCGCGAAAGCGUGGGGGAGCAAACAGGAUUAGAUACCCUGGUAGUCCACGCCGUA
rnacentral:rRNA from 1 species